AAGGGGAGCACCGGACCCUGGGCUGUGUCCCCCGUUGCCCUGGGCUCCGGGGCCUGCGCUGCUGGAAUUGGGCUCCCAGGGCCACCGCAACCCCCU
rnacentral:pre_miRNA from 1 species